AUCCUUCUGUGUUUCCUAAGUGUGAUGAUCAGAUUUUCAUGCUAUUAUGUGAGAUAUGUCUCCCUCAAAUUUUGUUAUGAUGUCAGCACAUUACCCAUCUGAUA